AGUUGUAGACUUCGGUCUGCUACCUCUUACCCAUGUCUUUUGAGUACCUUCGUUUCCUCGGCGGGUCCGCCCGCCGAUUGGACAACAUUCAAACCCUUUGCAGUUGCAAUCAGCGUCUGAAAAAACAUAAUAGUUACAACUUUCAACAACGGAUCUCUUGGUUCUGGCAUCGAUGAAGAACGCAGCGAAAUGCGAUAAGUAGUGUGAAUUGCAGAAUUCAGUGAAUCAUCGAAUCUUUGAACGCACAUUGCGCCCCUUGGUAUUCCAUGGGGCAUGCCUGUUCGAGCGUCAUUUGUACCUUCAAGCUCUGCUUGGUGUUGGGUGUUUUGUCUCGCCUCUGCGUGUAGACUCGCCUUAAAACAAUUGGCAGCCGGCGUAUUGAUUUCGGAGCGCAGUACAUCUCGCGCUUUGCACUCAUAACGGCGACGUCCAAAAGUACAUUUUUACACUCUUGACCUCGGAUCAGGUAGGGAUACCCGCUGAACUUAAGCAUAUCAAUAAGCGGAGGAA
rnacentral:rRNA from 1 species